rnacentral:rRNA from 1 species
CAAUAGCGUAUAUUAAAGUUGUUGCAGUUAAAAAGCUCGUAGUUGGAUUUGUGGCGUACGGUGUGUUCCGGGCACUUGUUGUCUGAGUAACCUGCUGUUGCCAUCCUUGGGUGGAACCUGUGUGGCAUUAGGUUGUCGUGCAGGGGAUGCCCAUCAUUUACUGUGAAAAAAUUAGAGUGUUCAAAGCAGGCUUAUGCCGUUGAAUAUAUUAGCAUGGAAUAAUGAGAUAGGACUUUUUUGCUAUUUUGUUGGUUUGCGCAAGAAGGUAAUGAUUAAUAGGGACAGUUGGGGGUAUUCGUAUUCCAUUGUCAGAGGUGAAAUUCUUGGAUUUUUGGAAGACGAACUACUGCGAAAGCAUUUACCAAGGAUGUUUUCAUCAA